rnacentral:rRNA from 1 species
UACGGAGGGAGCUAGCGUUGUUCGGAAUUACUGGGCGUAAAGCGCACGUAGGCGGCUAUUCAAGUCGGGGGUGAAAGCCCGGGGCUCAACCCCGGAACAGCCCUCGAAACUAGAUAGCUAGAAUCUUGGAGAGGCGAGUGGAAUUCCGAGUGUAGAGGUGAAAUUCGUAGAUAUUCGGAAGAACACCAGUGGCGAAGGCGACUCGCUGGACAAGUAUUGACGCUGAGGUGCGAAAGCGUGGGGAGCAAACGGG